rnacentral:lncRNA from 1 species
AGAGAGGAGCCUGGGAGCCGUGGCCAGCGAAGGAGCGUGGGCUUCUCUGGGCCAGAGGCUGCGUCUUCGAGCUCCGUAGUCUUCGGGAAGAAUGAGGACAGAUCUCUUCUGGGGACAGUUGGUCCUAGCGAUUCUAGGAGCGCCUGGCAAGAAGAGGCUGCUGCCUGGAGUCCAGAACUGAAUGAAUCAACCCUCUGAAGUCAGAACAGUGUCUGAAUGAUGAGCCCCCAGGCAGAUUUCAAGAUACAGAACAUUUGG